rnacentral:lncRNA from 1 species
AGUUGUUACAAUGAUUAACUAGAUAUAUGCUUCACUUUUGGCCUGCACUGUGGUUUUAGGGAUUCAUGGCAAACGAUUCCCCUUGUUUUCAGUGUGUGGGUUAAGGAAAUGAUCAGCAGGACAGGAAAACUUAUCUUCUUGCAUCCAUGGAGGAGGCCGUGGGGUAUGGAGUCCAUUUGUAGAGAUGGUGGCUUCGGUGGACAAUUGAAAACUAAAUCAAGUUUCGCAGCUCUGCCCGAGCUGACCUUGUUCACUAAGACGCCAUGUCCUCUUUGUGAUGAGGCCCUGCAGGCUCUGGCUCCAGCCCUCAAUGAGGUAUCUCUUCGCAAGGUGGACAUCACACUCCCAGAGAACAAACAAUGGCACAAGCUUUACCGCUACGAUAUACCGGUGUUUCAUUUCAAUGGCGCUUUUCUUAUGAAACACCGGGGUGACCUGCGUACUCUCUCCAAAGCGCUGGAGUCAUGGAAGGCUUCAUUACGAGCUUAGACAACUGUACCAUCAGUAAUGAAAACCGGACGAUUGAUGUGUGUUAGGACCCAGGCGCAGGAUAAGUACGAGCAGAAUGAUCAGAAGAUCAGAUGAGGAGAUUCUUCUGAUCCAGGUUAUGGCUAAGCCAUUGUGAAGACCAGUGCACUUGUGUCUGUAUGUAUUAAAAUGUGAAUUGCAGUUUGCAAGAAUACGAGCUCUUGCAUUUUUAA